CUUGCUCCUCUGACGUUAGCGGCGGACGGGUGAGUAACACGUGGAUAACCUACCUAUAAGACUGGGAUAACUUCGGGAAACCGGAGCUAAUACCGGAUAAUAUAUUGAACCGCAUGGUUCAAUAGUGAAAGACGGUUUUGCUGUCACUUAUAGAUGGAUCCGCGCCGCAUUAGCUAGUUGGUAAGGUAACGGCUUACCAAGGCAACGAUGCGUAGCCGACCUGAGAGGGUGAUCGGCCACACUGGAACUGAGACACGGUCCAGACUCCUACGGGAGGCAGCAGUAGGGAAUCUUCCGCAAUGGGCGAAAGCCUGACGGAGCAACGCCGCGUGAGUGAUGAAGGUCUUCGGAUCGUAAAACUCUGUUAUUAGGGAAGAACAAAUGUGUAAGUAACUAUGCACGUCUUGACGGUACCUAAUCAGAAAGCCACGGCUAACUACGUGCCAGCAGCCGCGGUAAUACGUAGGUGGCAAGCGUUAUCCGGAAUUAUUGGGCGUAAAGCGCGCGUAGGCGGUUUUUUAAGUCUGAUGUGAAAGCCCACGGCUCAACCGUGGAGGGUCAUUGGAAACUGGAAAACUUGAGUGCAGAAGAGGAAAGUGGAAUUCCAUGUGUAGCGGUGAAAUGCGCAGAGAUAUGGAGGAACACCAGUGGCGAAGGCGACUUUCUGGUCUGUAACUGACGCUGAUGUGCGAAAGCGUGGGGAUCAAACAGGAUUAGAUACCCCUGAUAGUCCACGCCGUAAACGAUGA
rnacentral:rRNA from 1 species